UGGGGAAUUUUGCACAAUGGGGGAAACCCUGAUGCAGCGACGCCGCGUGAUUUAGAAGGCCUUCGGGUUGUAAAAAUCUUUUCUAUGGGAAGAAAAUGACAGUACCAUAGGAAUAAGGACCGGCUAAUUACGUGCCAGCAGCCGCGGUAAUACGUAAGGUCCGAGCGUUGUCCGGAAUCAUUGGGCGUAAAGGGUACGUAGGCGGGUAAGCAAGUUAGAAGUGAAAUCCUAUAGCUCAACUAUAGUAAGCUUUUAAAAACGCACCUCUUUGGGUAUGGCAGGGGAAGUUGAAUUCCUAGUGUAGCCGUGAAAUGCGCAGAUAAUAGGAGGAAUACCGGUGGCGAAGGCGACUUUCUGGCCAUAACCUGACGCUGAGGUAAGAAAGCGUGGGUAGCAAACAGG
rnacentral:rRNA from 1 species